rnacentral:lncRNA from 1 species
ACAUCUCUCUCACACACACGUACGACACGGACGUACAUACGGAGAGAUUUUUUAUUCAGUAUACGACGUAGCAGUAUAUAUAGUAGACAACUCAUCAUCACCCGUAGAUAGAUAGAGACUCAAGCAUGGUCGUCGUCGAUGCUCCGGCGCCGACGACGGCGGCGGAAUGGAUCAUCGAUCGACGAUCAUCAGGUCGUCGUUUCGGUUUAGCUCACCCUGGAGCAGUCGGUGGAGGUGCUGAUGGUGUAGGGGAUGCUGACGCCGCACUUGGAGGGGAUGCUGGCGGCCUUGCCGACGUUGAGGCCGCGGAUGCCACGGGCGGCGUUCUUGAGGCAGUUGCAGGCGGCGCGCCUGUCGGCGGUGGUGCGGGCGGCGGAGUUGAGGCUCCUGACGCCGCUGCAGCAGCCUGCGGAGGGUCCAGAGCCCUGGCCGCGGGCGUAGGACAGGCAGGGCCCGAUGGCGGAGCUCACCUGACCGCAUGUCACGGCGGCCUCCGAGGUCGUCGCCGCCAGCACCACCGCCGCCACGACGGCGAUCGCCACAGCAAGCUUCAUGCUGCGAGCCAUGUCGAUCUCGAUCGACCUCCUGUGAUAUAUGUGCUGAUGCUCGUAGGUGACUGAUAGCUUUUGGGAUGCAGUGAGUGAGCAAGUGCUAGCUGGUGAGGAGAUUGCAAUGGAAUGUUGCUCCUUAAAUAGGCAGGCUUUGUGAUCGAUGUGUGAGCUAGCUAGCGAUUGCUGAUGAGUGAUGUGCAUGCAUGGGAUGGGUGUGCAUGCUGUUUCAGUCGGUGGAUGCAUGCAUAUGCGUAUAUGUCCAUGGAUCGAUGGUAUCUCUCGCCAUGCAUCGAAGUUAACUGCUGGGGAGGAGGUGGUUGGGUGUUGAGGGAGGAGGGCAGAUGCUUGUUUAGUUGUUGUAAUACCCGAUUUUAAGGACAAAACCAGAUAUGCACCAUAUGUGAGUUUUAAAAGCCAAAUCUCACAUAUAGCUACAAAUAAGGGGUAAUAUCAAAAGACAAUGCAAAAAUUAUAUAACGUACAUAAUAUAAAAGAGAUAACCUUUGAUAGCAAACAACGGAUAGACAACUCCAAACUCCGGGUAUUAACUUCUCUCUACAGGAUCCAACUGACUGGUUGAUCACAAGCCUAAACUUCUCCUGAGGUUUGGGGGAAAUAGCAAGAGUGAGUCCAUGUCAAACUCCACAAGUAUAGCAACUAGAUUGUAUAGCUCCCACAAUCUCAUGAUCAAUGUGACAUAAAUAAUGUAAAGCAUUAAACAAUAAGCAAUGAGCAUAUUUAACACACAAGAUUCAUCACCCUUAAUGUAGAUGUCCCCAAGGCCGUUCCUGACCGUGAGCUCGGCUAGUAUACUAGUUUUAACACUCUGCAGAGGUUGCACAUCUUUACCCAUGAGUCAUGAUUUACCCUUUCGCCCGAGGUGAUCAGCCUCUUAACCCACUUCCAAGGAAGGUCGGCAGGGAUCACUAUGAAGCCUUUCAAAAGUUCGUCUAACAUGUUAGGGCCGCAAGGUUUCCUUUGCGAGCAGAUAUAGAUACCCCCCUUCCGAAUGGCACAAUGACGCGCAGCCUAUACACAUAGGGACAGGGGCUCGCACUAUACCCGUGUCGGUUCAGCCCCUCCGCCCUUUCGGGUAACCUCUAACAAGCUAGAAAAGGUCUUCAUACUGAGCUAAAGCCAGAGCCAUUAUAGCCCUCAUGGUUGCACUGUUAUCCCGGGUGAUCACGUACAGACAAAUCAUCAAGUUGUUAAAAAGUCAUUUUUACCAUUUAUUACUUAACAUUAAUCUAGUCACAGGAUCAUGGUCACAGAAAUAAAAUCCAAAUGCUAUACUUGCCUCAAUCCAAUUGCUCUUGCUUAUCCUUUUGGUCCUGCUGGUCUCACUUGUUGCCAAAGCUUUGAUCUUGAUCACCGAAACUGCUCUCCGUCUAAACUCGAUCAUCGAUCAUCAACACACAAACAAUCGGACACAACAUACACGUAGCAAACAAGGCUAUAAUUAGAACAGUACACCAAUCAUAUAAAAACAAUAUGAAAAAUUUGUAAAAUAAUUCUACGCAUCGCUACGAUCUCACAGACGUAAAGAUGACGAAAAUCGGAGUUAAAACGGAAAAGAUAUGGAUUUUCUAAGAUUUUAUAUAGAAAAGUAAUUAAUUAAUUAAGGUCACGAAAUUAAAAGGUUUCAAACUGAGUGAACAAUAUUACUAACAUGUAGUGCUCGUGAUUACGAACCUAACACAAUUUCAAUGGACAAAACGGAGUUAAAACAGAGAUGAUAUGGCCUAAAUAAACUAGCGUAUUUUCUUUGUAUUUUUAGGUUUGUUUUUCUAAAGGAAAACGGCAAUAAAACAUGUCUAUGUUAUAACGACGUCAUCAAGCUAGCCAGCAACGUUUAUUCGCAGAUAUAUGUUAGACAUGUACAUCCCUAGAUCGAUUGCUGCGCAGAUAGAAACAUCGCCGGGCGAAACAAAUCAGUGCAUGCACUUGUAGAGGCUUUGUGAAAUUUCUCACACAGGAAUCGACAUAUUAAAGAUGCAAAGUUACCUCUUAUGGUGAUUAUAAGAUUCAAUAGGACAUGCUUGCCGAACGAUGGGUCAGUGGCCACGUCGUCAAGAACAGGUUGAUCUACGGCAACACCUUCUACUCCCGUGCUCUGUUGCUUGCUACUCUUCACGUGGCCAGCGAUUUGGUCUUCUGCUUCUUUGGUCCACAAUCACGAUGGUUCACCGGAACAUGGCAAGCAGCUCUGGCAAGCAGGACGUGGCAAGAGCAGAGCGGCGGCCGUAACAUGGCAAGGGCAGCAUCUAUCUAGGCAUGGCCGACGGCGGCGGCUCUCAAGGGUUUUAAGGACGUAAACACUCUAGACGAAUAUGACGUGUAUAUAUACGUGCGGUCUAGAUCAAGUUUGAUUAGGGUUAGAACUUAUUAUUUUUGGAAUUAAUUAUUUUCAUGGAUAAAAUAAUUAUAGAAAAGUCCAGAAUUAUUAUUUAAACUAUGAAAAAUAUUCUAAAAGCUCUGAAAAUUCGGAGAAAAUUCUCAGAGACAUUAUGGAAUAUGAGGAACUCAAAUAACGUAUUUGGACCUCAUGAUAAGAUAAUUUGGAGCAUCUAAAAAUUAGAUUUAUGCUCAUAGAAAAGUGAGAAUAGAAGAUGGAAAAAUUCCCGAAAAGUUUGUAGAGAUUGCUUGAUGGACGAGGAACUAAAAGAAGUGCUUUGAGUGACAAAGAAAAGAUUUUAGGAAGCUCCUAAUAAAAAAUUGAGCUGAGAAACCAAAGAAUUUGGUUAUAGAUAAAGAUAAAGACGUACUGGUCAAGGAAGAUCUACUAAACGCAUUUUAAAACUUUGCUCACUCAACACAUAAAGGAGCAACAAGUCAACAUCACAUCAAAACAUAUGCACCAGCAUGUAUGCACAACAAUAUUGCUAAGGCUUAUGAUAAAUUUUAAUUUAAUGAAAAUUAUUAUUUUCCUUAUAUUUUCGUGAGCACAAAAUACAAAACUGAAUAAAUUUUCAUCUAUUUUGAAAAGAGCAAAAUUUAGGGUGUUACAGUUGUCAAAAUUUUUUAAAAUUCUCAAUCAAAUUAAAUCUUGGGACACAAUGUAUCAAAUAUUAAAUAUAGAUAAAAAUUAAUUAAUUAUAUAGUUUGUAUAUAAUUUGCGAGAUAAAUUUUGUAAACCUAGUUAAUCUAUAAUUAAACAAAAAUUAUUAAAUAUAAACGGUGCUAUAGUAACUAGAUCCAAAAAUUUUCACCAACUAAGGGCUUGUACAACGAUGGGCGCUUAUGAUCAGGUAUUGGCCGUUAAAUAGUUUUUUUGCCACACGGUGGAGUCCUGAGCGGGCGCUUAAAAAUAGAUUUGCCGCUCCGUAAAGCAUCGACGCCUAGACCGGCUCCUUGCUUGAUACUGGUGUUUGCAUGCGACGUAACGGUCACAACUUAAGCGCCUUCAAAUACGUGUUGUGUUGUAGAUUAAGGUUAUAAAGAGACGCUUAGUUACAAAAGUAUUUUCUCUUUCCAUCUAAGCGCCUUUUGCAUUGUACGUGCUCUAAACAAGGCCACAGAUACAGACAUACAGUGGUUAGCUGAGGCAGAGUGAAAUCAUUAGCAGCAAACAUAUAAUAAAUAGCAGCCGCCUAGCACGACUUAGCGCCACUUAAGUUUUGUUUAGUUACGCUCGAAAUCCAAAAACUUUUCAAGGUUCUCUUCACGUCGAAUUUAGAGACACAUACAUGUAGCACGACUUAGCGCCACUUAAGUUUUGUUUAGUUACACUCGAAAUCCAAAAACUUUUCAAAGUUCCCUUCACGUCGAAUUUAGAGACACAUACAUGAAGCAUUAAAUAUAAAUAAAAAAAUAACUAAUUACAUAAUUUAUCUGUAAUUUGAGAGACGAAGCUUUUGAGUCUAGUUAGUCUAUAGUUGAACAAUAAUUAUCAAAUAUAAAAAAAAAUGUUAUAGUACCAAAAAAAUCUUUUCACUCACGAACUAAAUAAAGGCCCUAAUCUCAUCAUCCGCCUCACUGUUUAAUCGAAUGUCCUUGAUGGCCACCCACAGGCUCACAAAACCUGAGACGGUGAGACCUUGCCUGGGGUAGUAUAUGGGGCCAAUGGCCAAUCCAUUUAUCAGUUUGCCCAAGGCAGGUGGUGGGCCACUCUGUUCAAUUUUGAGUCUAAUAUAUGCAAUAUCUUCUCUUUUGUGCAAUUUUUGUCCGUGGGUUCAAACAAUCCUGCCACCGUGUCACCGGUGGCUGAUCGUGUCAACCCUUCGCCGCAGUCCGCUCCACCACAGUACGGGGGGCCCAGUUGCAGUCUCUGCCACCGCAGUAGGGAUGUUGAACUUGUAAUAAUAAAUAUGUGAGUGCUUUUAAUAUAUAAUGCAUGUUGGUGAUAUAGAUGUGAUAAUUGGCGUGUGUGUAUAUAUAUUGUCUGUUACAAUGGAAUGUAAAAAAUAAAACAAAUACAAUUCUCGGGGUCUUCGCCGAGUGCGGUGCCAGGGUCACUUGGCAAAGCAAUUUAAAAAAACAAUUUUGCCGAGUGUCGGGGCCACGACCACUCGGCAAAGAAUUUUUCUUUAAAAAAGAAAAGACACUUUGCCGAGUGCUGAUGCUAGGGGCACUAGGCAAAGUAUUUUUAAAAAAAACAAAUAUGCGGAGUGCCGCGGCAAGGGACACUCAGCAAAUAUUUUUUUUUUAAAAAAAAAGAAAGAAAAUCUUUGUCGAGUGCCUGAGGCCAGAGGCACUUGGCAAAGCAAUUUUUUUUAAAAAAACUUUGCCGAGUGUUAAGGGGCCAGGGGCACACGGUAAAAUAUUUUUUAAAAAACAAAAACUUUGUCGAGUGUCGUGUCGGGCAACUCGGCAAAAUAACUGUUAACGGCAGAUGCUGUGACGGCCAAAAAUGUUGCCGAGUGCUGUCGUAAGCACUCAGUAAAAUGUUUUUAAUAUUUUGCUAAGUGCCUCGGUAAAAAGCACUCAGCAAAGUCUCUUUGUCGAAAAUUUUUUUGCCGAGCGAACUUUGCUGAGUGCUACGUUCGGCAAAGCCUUUGCCGAGUGCAAAGGGCUCUUUGUCGAAUGUAAAAACACUCGGCAAAGUCCUAAUUUCCAGUGGUGGGUGUGCUGGGACAAUUUAGAAAGCAAGCAACGAUUUCAUUUUGCGUUAGAUCACUCCCAUCCUCGAAGCCUCAGUUUUUUUUUUCAGAAAUAAGUUCCAGCUGUUGCUGCUGAGAACUAAAAGAAGCUUUUCACCCUUGAUUGAUCAAUGGAUUGGCUCUCUAGUUUAACAGGCUUCUUUGUUGUACUCUUUUUGCUCUUUUUUCCUUAGUUUUUUUGUUCCUUAGUUAAGACUCCACCCUACUGCCUCCUUAACUGUUGUGCUUUUUUUUUUGUAAAAGACCUUUUUUAUUAUAAUUUUUGCAUUGUUGUAGGGGUGCAAACCCCUCCAAUCUCCUUCAAAAAAUUCAAAAGUAAUAUAACCUUGCAGAACAAAGGACGGUAAUCCCACCAUUUUGCUAUGUGAGCCCACUCCUCUUAUUUUUUUUACUUUUAUUUUGAUUAUGCCCACUCCUGUUAAGCAGUCAUUUGUUCCAUUCCCUAAAUAUAUUUCUAUUUUUUAGAAUAUUCAAUAAGGCGUAUAUACAUUAUAUUUUAAGAAAUAAACUAUAUUCAAGACAAAUCUACCCACAUCAAUAUUACUUGUAUACAUUCAAAUAAACAUGUAGACAUAAUAAUUCGAUAGUUAAGGUUUCAAAAUGAUUGAAAUAAGACAACUUGAAAUAUGUCACAAUAAAAAAUUAUUUGUGGUCAAAGUUUCUGAAAUUAUUGACUUACGACAACGUACAUCCAAGUGUCACUUAAUUGCUUUGUGAGCAGAGGGAGUAUAUAUUUUGGCAAGUUACCCUCCAUCUAAAAAUAUAAAACACAUGUUUUUAGGACAGUAAGAUUUGACCAAUAGGUGCUUGUGCCAUUAAUAUGCAUAAAUCAUAGAUACUUUUGAAUACAAAUAUCUAGUUACAUCAAUUUGCUACCACAAAAUUGCAAGUAUCUUGGUUAAAGCCAUGUCUAACAAAACAUGAGCUUUGGGAUGGAUAUAUAUCAUAUUGGUGUGUACGUUUAGUAGUCUCUCUUCGUUUCAAUUUAUUAGAUGUUGUUUUGGCUUUUGUAGAUACAAAAAUUUUUUUAUGUAUCUAGAUAACGUUUAUUAUGAUAUAGAUAUAUCGUAUAUCUAUAUGCCUAAAAAACUGAAUAUCUAGAAAAACUAAAAUAACCUAUAAUUUAGGAUAGAGGGUGGUAAUAAUUAUACAUCUUCUGCUACCAAGUCCCUUAAUUACAGCACACAGCUCUGUUUUCUAGUUGCCUUGAUCGUUCAUCAGAUGAAUUAUGUAUUUGAAGAGUAGCGCGUGUGUGGUCAUGUCAUGAAAACGUGCUAGCUAGGUACUUGUUUUAAUUUCCACCGUGUGAGUAUUUUUUUUUUUCAAGUGGCGAGAGUUCAUUAAUUAAAUAAAACCAUUCAAUUUUUCAAAUCACAAUACGUUGUCUGCAAAUCCUCUGAGUCAGCCAGUUUUUCGUUACGUGCUAUACUCCGUCCAUUCUAAAUUAUGUUUUUUAAACUUUUUGGUAUAUUCAUUUUGCUACAUACUAAAAAAAUUAAAAAUAACUUAUAAUUUAGAACAGAAGAGGUAUAUAUAUAGUUGCAUAUAUGCUGACAAGUGUUUGGGGGAGAAUAGAGCAGUAACUCUCUUGACCAAGCGUUUGGGAGUCAUGGAACACAGUCACAUGGCGCAUGCAUGCGUAACAACAAUUUGGAAACAAAGAGAUGUGUGUGUGCAUGUAGCAGUGAUCGAACUAGUACAAACCACAGGAGCGAGAGGAAACGUACACGGACAUAAAUAAUAAACACCGCACAUAGUGCAUGCACUCAAAAAUAAACCCAACAAGCAAAAGUACAUCUCUCACACACACAUGUACACACGCACGUACGUACAUACGCUAAGAUGCAAGCGUAUCACAGCGUACACGACGACACGUACGUACAUACGGAGAGAUUUUUAUUCAGUAGUACGACGUAGCAGUAGUAGACAACUCAUCAUCUCAUCAUAUCAGGCGUAGAUAGAUACUCAUCCAUGGUCGAUGCUCCGGCGCCGAUCGACGACGACGGCGGCGGCGGCGGAAUGGAUCAUCGAUCGAUCGAUCAUCGUUUAGGUUUAGUUCACCCUGCAUGAUCAUGCAUGCAUGGAAGACGAAGCACAAGUUAAUUAAACGACUUGAUAUUCAAGUUGAAUCAGACCAUGCAUGCAUGCAAAGUUGCAAACAACUUGUAGUGAUUGGAUCAUUCAUUCAGAUCAUCACUUAAUUACCUGGAGCAGUCGGUGGAGGUGCUGAUGGUGUAGGGGACGCUGACGCCGCACUUGGAGGGGAUGCUGGCGGCGUUGCCGGCGUUGAGGCCGCUGAUGCCACGGGCGGCGUUCUUGAGGCAGUUGCAGGCGGCGCGCCUGUCGGCGGUGGUGCGGGCGGCGGAGUUGAGGCUCCUGACGCCGCUGCAGCAGCCUGCUGAGGGUGCGGAGCCCUGGCCCCGGGCGUAGGACAGGCAGGGCGCGAUGGCCGAGCUCACCUGCCCGCAGGAGAUGGCCGCCUCCGAGGUCGUCGCCGCCAGCACCACCACCGCCGCCGCCGCCACCACGGCGAUCGCCACAGCAAGCCGAGCCAUGUCGUCGAUGUUCUGGGGGUGUCUGAGACUUGCUUGUACUAGCUUUGGAAUGCAAGUGAGCAAGUGCUAGCCGCUGGUGAGGAGAGUGAGAUGGAGUGUGGCUCCUUAAAUAGGCAGGCUUGCGAUCGAUCUGAUCUGAUCUGAUCUGGGAGCUAGCUACAGUAGCUUGUCAUUGCUGAUGACAGAUGUGCAUGCAUGCACGGUGUUGUUGCAUUGCAUGCAGUUUCAGGCAGGCAGUCGGUGGAAUGGUGGAUGCAUGCAUAUGAAUGAAUGAAUAUGGUGGAUGUUCCAACAUCAUCUUCCAUGGACGACGGACGGUAUCGUCGCCAUCCGUCGAAGUUAAUUGCUGGGCAGGAGGUGGUUGGGUGUUGGGAGCAGGAGGCAGAUAGAUACAGAUAAUACUACAGCGGUUAGUUGAUGAGGGCAUGAUCGAGGCAGAGUGAAUUCAUUUGCAGCAGCAAUAGCAACUUAUUAGGGUAUGUUAUACUAUAACACUUUCGUUUAUAUUUAGCAAUAAAUAUUUAAUUAUAGACUAACUAGACUCAACAAGUACUUUAUCUCGCGAUUUACAUAUACAAACUAUGUAGUUAAUUAUUUUUUUUUUAUUUAUAUAUAUUUUAUGUUUCGUACAUGCGUCUAAAGAUUCGAUGCGACGAGAAAUCUUAUAAACAUUUAGAAUUUUAAAGACAUUUAAACACGCCCUUAAAUAGCAGCCGCCUAACACGACUUAGCAGGCAGGGUGAUGGCGGCAGUCGGCAGGGACGGACGUACGUGGCUCUCAUCUGAUGAAGUUGGAGGCGUAUUCACUCUCUCUCACUAGUGUGUCAGUGUGAGGUAGUUUGCAGUUGGAUCCGAGUGCUUAUCGCACAAUAAACACAUACUCUUCCUGCAUUAAGACGUCAAUUAUAUAUGGAUCGUCCAUCAUCCAUGAAUCCUUCCAGUAGUCUUCGUUAAUUCCUCCCGGCCGCAACCAGAAACAGAGAUAUCAGUACAGUGCAGGAGGUUACAUGCACAUUCACAAAUUGAAGUUGCAGCAGUGGUAGCGAUUAAGUUGUCCAGCAAGUAUGGGAGCCCACAUGUCGCUGUCUCGAUCGGAAGCUCCGCCACGUAUUACAUACAUGCAUCCCGUCCCCAACCUAGCUAGCUACCUCUGUGUGCACAGGCAGGUACCACCGACGGUUUCCCAAAACUCGUAUGUGUCCGACCCUCAAAAACAAAUCUCUCAAUUUUUGUUCAAAACAAACAAAUUUUUUAAAAUUUUAGAUUCAAAAACAAACAACUUUUGACCAUCAAAGAAAAAUACUGCUCUACCUCGAUCCGUUCUAAAAAGAACUUGGGAUUAUAUUCUAGAAAGUAACAGAUAGAUUCGUGUGUAAUGUUUAGAGAUGAGAUCUUGUAUGAAAAGAUUGGUUGAUGCGUAUAGAGCAACUUCAACCAAACUUCUAAAUGAACCUCUACCUUUUUAUAUAAAGGGGCUAAAACUCAAAUAUACUCUCGAACUGAUCCGGUCCCGACGGAGAGGGGCUCCCAUUUAUCUUUCCUCUAGAUGUAUGAGGCGGUGUUUCGGAUGGUUUGAUUCAAUUCCUUGCAGCUGCUAUUCAAUGAUGUCUUAACUGUAGCUCAUUUCUACCACUCUUAAUUAUGUAUGGCGAAGAGAAGAUUAAGCUCCCAAUCGAGUCCGAGUUGGAGGAUUUCGGUGCAACGUGGAGUUUGAUCUCUGCAUGGAUCGUUAAAUCUAAGUUGAGGUCAAUGUUUGUACUACAGAUCAUAGUACAUUGUGGUUGCCCUUGUUUGUAUGAGAUCUAGUGUAGAAUUUGUUGAUACUUUGUUGGCUACACAUUUGAUGGUUCCUUUCACUUAGGUUUCUUGGAUGAGCAGUUGUAAAUGCCAUUGCUUUCAUUAGUCGGCAGUUUGGUGCGCAUAGUGGUGUUCACAUGUGCUAGUUGCUCAUUUAGUGAUUGUGGUUCCUGAAUUAUGUGUUUGAGGUGGAGCACAUUUAGAAAGUAUGGAUUUGCAUUCUUCACUAUCUGUUCAAUUAAUGCCUUAGGUGAUUUCUUCGCAUACCCUUUCGUGAUCGAGCAAUUUGUUCAGACUUGGGUUAGAAGGCAGUAGCACAUGCUCAAACAUUUGCUGCGGUUAGAAUUUGUCGAAGACUCAGUUUUGUUCAUCUGAAUUUGGUGAGACACGAUUUGAACUUCCUAGUUAUUCUUGCUUGCUCGAUUUGGUAGCUUCUUGUGAAGCAUUUGUUGGUGGUUUUGUUAGUGUAUUUGACUUGGUGUUGGAGAUUUGAGCAUUUUGCAUCAUGAUCAUUGGUGUGUUGGCCAUGUUGUUCACUCAUUGGAGUUCACUCAUGAAUUUGUUUCUAGCUUCAUCAUUUGCCAAGUCAAAACAAGCUACCUUCAUGUUGGAGGCGAUAAAUUUGUCUUUUUUAUUAUUUAUUUGAAGAUGAAGGAUUUGAAGAUUGGACUUCCCUCAUCAAGAAUCUUGAUGUGUUCGCUCUAUGGUUCAAUCGUCGCCGAGGUAUAGAAUUGUGAUGUUGCAGCUUCUAAUAACACCAUUUGAGGCUUUACAUUAUGCAGAAUGUUACCUAUAUGUUUGGUUAGGUGUCUAGGAACUUAUUUGUGGUAAUCUGUAACUUUGAGAGCCUUUUAAUGAAAUGCCCAAACCAGCCCAAAAAGGGCAUCCCAAGCUCCCUGCUUCUGUAGGUGCAUGCUCUUCCCCUUUGGGGGGUUGAGAGAGGCCGGGAGAGGAGAUUUGAGGGUGGGGCUUUGUUUUACCAAAUCUGAACAUUAUAGAGUGAAAUCGGAGGGGAUUUAGAGCCUUCGCCAACCUUGUUAGUUCACGCCUCUUGUAUCAUCAUCUUCACAGUGGAUUGCUUGCUCGUCGCCGCCUGUGGUUUUUCCUACAAGGGGUUUCCACAUAAAUCUUAGUCUCUACCUAUGAUUCAGUAUUUAUCUUGCCAUACUUGUUGAUUCAUACCAAUCUUGCUUACAUGGUGUCAUUUCUCCAAGUUCAUGGUGUAUGAUUGAUAUUGACGUAUGAUGCAUACAUGCAUUCUCUUAUAUGUUAAUGAUGGGGAUUGAUGUGUUAGUGAGUUCAUAUUUACAAGUAUACUCAUUAUUGUGAAGUUUGCAUAGCACCAUGUCUGAAGAAUUGAUAAUAUGGGUCUGAUUUGUAUUUUGCACAUAAGGUGUUAGUUGAAAUAUUCAUGAGUAACUAGCUUGCUAAUUUUGAUGUUUCCUCUGCCUCUAUGCGCUUACAAUAAGUUUAUGGAAUAAAUUUUAGAUCCUUAAUUGAUAUUUAUCUUUGGAAAUAGAGGAAGUAAUAAAUGGUCCCAAUUUGCUAGCCACUUGUACAUAGUUAUACUAUAUACAAGCUUAUGCAAGUCAAAAUGUAAAAAACAAGAAGAACCAAGAAACAUGAACAAAAUACAUACAUACACUUAUGCAAGAUGUAGUAUAUAACUUUUAGGACAAUAUUUAUUUUGGCUCUGUUUCACUAGUGGAGUAGCUUUUUCCACUGGUAAAGGUAAAAUUGUUUUAGUUGUUUGGUCAAACAACUUCUCUAAUUCUUAAAAACAAAAAAUGACUAUAAUACUCUUUUUUGGCUGGCCGAGCUUUAAAAUUUUUAUCUUCUUUUUUAUGAAUUCUUCUUUAUGUGGCUACCAUCUGUUUGUCCUCCCCGCUUAUCCCCUGGUGCCCCGACCCGUCCACCUCCGCCUCAGCUUUGCCACCUUCAUCCUCAUCCAGCCACCAGAUGUUUCUCCUCAGUGUUCAUCCCAUGGUCCCCGCCCAUCUCCCACCGGUGACUCCACCCCUCACACCUCAAUGACUCCACCCCGCCCUUGUUACAUCAUUCUUCGUUGUAGUUUUGUUUGCAUCCAAUGACUUCAGUCACCCCCACAACUCUAGCCCCAUGCCACACUUGUCAUGGUGCAUGUAUUUGCCGCACCAUGCCUAUACAAAGAUGGCCCUCAUGACUUGAUGGAAGAGCUAAGCAAAGCCAUUUUUAGCUUCCCUAGAUGUGAGCGCGUGUAAGAUCGUGUUUUCCGAAGUUAGCACGAGGAGUAGCAACAGCUUUCAAGAUGGCAACGGGCCCCGAUCCCCGAUGGGGAUUUCAUCCAUUAGGGGACGAGAACGGGAAAAUUUUGAUCCCCGUAGGGGGACUUCAUGAGAAAGAAGGAUCCUCCAUCAGGUGAAGCGGGGAUGCAAACAUUCUAGGCUUCAUCCUUUAGCCUGACCCAACAAAUGAAAUAGGUCCAGUUUCUAACACCUAAAAAAAUCAUAUAAAAGCAAGAGCAUUUGUAACCCUAGUGAUCCACCAUUGCUUCUAGGCUUCUAGCUGAGUUGUCACUUCCACCGGUCCUCCUCCACUCCUCCUGUAUGCCUCUAAAGUCCAAGCUCAUCCUAUCUCCCUCUCUCCCCUCUACCCUCUGUCUCGCACCAACGACGUUGUGGUGGCGGUGAUGCUUGCGGGCUGUGGCCACAUGCUCUGGUAAGCAAGCACUGCUCUAGGGUUGAACCUGACAACAGCGGAGCCACGGAUGAGGUGUUCAAGGGAAGACGUGAAGGGCAACACCAAGGGGUUUAUCGGGGAUAGAGACCCCGCCGAGUGUGUAAUCUCGGGGACAGGGAUGGGGAAAUCUGGUACCCAGGUGCAGGGAUAGGAACAGGGACGGGGAGCGGGGUGUUUUUCUUUUCUCAUGGUCAAAACGUUCAAGCAAAACCUGACGGGGAUAGCCCCGUUGCCAUCUUUAAACGGCUCUCCUUCACCUGUUCGGUAGACGAACACGUAGACCAACUCUAGGAGCAGUUUGAUUUACAUUUCCUGACGGUUGACGGAGUUAGUAAUUAAUUACGUAAGAGUAGUUGAAGGAGCUUCCCGGCACCAUAUACUUGCGAGUGAUAUGCAGGGGUUACAAUAAUUACAGUUUACAAUGCUCGUCUCUUUAAUUAUGCGACGGGACGUGACGAUGGCCCAGCGGCUCAGCUGCAUGCAUGGAUCAAUCGAUCGAUCGCCAAUUAUCAAAAAAACCAAUCGAUCGACAGCUAGGUAAACUACCAGCUGCGGAUUAUAAAUUAUUCACGCUCAUCAUAUACAUAUAUAAUUAUAUAUACACGUACGUACGCUUCUGAGUACGAGCGACGAAAGUGUGGUGCAAGUGCAGCGUACAUGCCGGUACAGCGGCCAUCAUAUCAAGAUAUGUAUCCAUCUCCUACUACUGUACACAUUUGUAUCCUUACGGAGAUACAGUAUAUCAAGAUCAUCCUCUGACUCACUGCAUAGUCUGCACCGCAUCACGUACGUGCCGAAUACGUACAAGACUGAUUCAUGCUACAUAGUACGUGCGCCACACUCCUCGAUCGAUCGGUACAUCUUCACGUGUCCAUGUUCCUCAUCAACGAAUUAAUGCAUUUGUUUUCACAUGCCGCAUGCAUGAGAGUCGUCGGUCGUGGUGCCACUGUGCACACAUGCUUGAGUCCUUUGCUUUUCCUGUGCUCCAAUUCUUUUUUUCCAUAUACUCUACUCCCCGUCCCAAAAAAAGUGUCGUUUUAGAAUUUCAAACAUCUUAUUUGAUCAUCCAUUUUAUUCAAAAUUUUUACAUAAGUAUUAUAAAUUUUGUUAAGACCUAUUUAUCAUUAGAGAUACUUUACUAAUGAUUUAUUUAUUUUAUAAUUUACACAAAAUUUUUGAAUAAGACGAACGAUCAAACACGAUUUCUAAAAAUAAAAAACGUCACUUUUUUUAGAAUGGAGGGAGUACAUUAUUUUCAGAUGCCCAUCCUAGAGUAUGUAGUACCAUUCCAUGUAACAGCUAGUACCUUGUACCUAGGAUGGAGUACGUACUACUCGUGCUUGCAGUAGCGCGCGAAAGUGGACGACAGCACGCCCAUACGGCCAUCCGCUCACCAUUGUCUACAUCCUAGCUUUCUACGUACGUGUGUACCUGUACAUAUAGUCAUAAACCUAUAUCUACAUUUUUUAAUAAUAAUUUAUAUCCAUACCCUAAUAAUUUUAAUAAUAAUGAAUAAUAAAAGAAGCAAAAAAUUUCCCAUCCCUCCUAUUACUGCUUUAAGUAAAAAAAAAGACCUUCACGGACGCGGCAACACUUGUGUUAGGAUGAAAGAUAGAAAUGAGGCACAGCCAAUCUGUCGUCUUGUGAUGAAUUACGAAAAGAAUAUUUGUCAUCAGAUCAGUAGUAGAAUUAACAAUCACACGUAGAACAGACACAAUGAUUUAUGUGAAAGACCUUUUCAAGGCAAGAAGUAAAAACUAUGGAACCAAACGCUCUACUCCAAGCUUCCACUAUAAGUACAAUGAGUGUAGAAGGAGUUUUAUCUAGGGAAUCUAGAGUUAACCAGCGAUAACACAUUCAUCAAAUUACAAACUUGCCAUCAGUUAGAACCACAACCUUCUAACAAUAAGAGGAAUGACAACAACGAAGUAAAGAACUCAUAUAUUUUGUUCCCCUUUGGUAUCAAUUUAUAUCUCAAACUAUAGCUUUAUUGUGCAUUAAUUUUGAAAUGCAUAUAGAUCCACAAGUCCCCUAGCCACUGAUCAAGUUUUAGCUCAAUUGGACACCAUUUCACCAUCCAAAACAAUCAUCUACCAAAAUUUCUCUCUGUCUUGAAACUUAGUAACCAGAGCUGACAAAACAUACCCUUUCAAAUCUGGUGCUCUAAUCAACCGAUCCUCAAACCAACUGAACAUAUCAAACUAACCUAAUUGAGGAAUGAGCUAACCAAGUUUGGUCCCAAUCCAUCUAUGUUUGAGCCUACAAUCACUGGCUUUAAGAUGGCUGGUUAGAGCCACCAAAUCUCGAUAGAUUUGGUUCUUCUUAUUGUUCCUCCUCUUUGUCUAUCACGUUGUGGUGUUCUUGUGUUUCUCAACACCCCUCUCUUAGCUCCAACAACUAAAGGAAUAAAAGCUAGGGUUUUUAUUUUUAGUUUCCAAUUAAGAUUGAUCUUCACCGUUGGUUCCAACUAAAAUCAACAACUCACAAGAACUAGCCUCAGAGUUAUAUUUUCAGCUGCUUUGCGGAGCUCAAGAUCAUCCUCUAUAUGAAGGGACAGACUAGCACUUGUGUCAUAGCUUGGUCGACUGAGCUUGAGAUCCAACGGUGGGGUGGUGGGGCUCUAGAGCCCCCUCCUACGGCUACUGGACCUAUGGAGUCUCCAUAGGAAUUUUUUAUCAUGGAUGCACUUGAGGAGAGGCUGAAGCUAUCUAAAGGUUUAAAGAAAUCUCCCUAGACAUUUUUGCUAGAUCCGUUCCUAUAUGUGAUACAACCAGUGCAUUCAAUAGCCAGUAGCCACCAAAUCACUAGAAUUUAUUUGAUUUAAUUAAAGUAAAGUUUGGUUCCAACUAAAUUAAUAAAUUUAAUAAAAUGAUUAGUUUAUUAUCAUCUACUUUGGUAGAUCCAGACAAUCGCACGAGAAGUUGUAGGUGUGUACUUGUGUUACAGCACAGCAGCAUAUAUGAGCAUAUUCGUUAUGCCAAUAUUAUACACAAAGAAAAAGAGUCAUGGACGAGGCGGCAAUUGCUGUCGGUGGAUGGCUACCUUUCGGAAGCUAGCCACCGUACACACUCUUUUGGCCGGCCGGCGUCGGCGUGCUGCCAAGUGCAACCUCCCCAACGCUAAGCAGGUAGUGAUAUUAAUGCCGCUGCCGGUGAGGCUCGUCGUCGUCGUCGUCGUCGUCGUCGUGUGACACAAACAAGUCUACCAUCACCCAGAGUGGUCCCGGACACUGUAGGACACGCGUAGUGUAUGUACGCAAUGUCGUCGUCUGCUGCCCUGCUCAACGAUGUGUUCUAACUUUAUUACACGGUACCUGUACGAGGGUAGCAGCAGCUGCUCGGCUGCUGCAGGUGGAUCAUGCACACGCGCGCAACUCCAACACUACCCUAAACUUCACUUGGCAAAUCUUGAAUUUUGCAAAGUGUAAAACUCAAAUGCCAAGUGAAAAAAAGAGGCUUCUGUUAGCUAUUUCUUUUGACAAAUUUGGACUAUCUUGUGAUUCCUGAAAAAAUCAGAGAGACUUUUAUACAAAAGUUGCAAUCUAUUUAAGGCAUGCGUGCAUGCUGAAUGUGUGGGUCCCACCGCGUAGGCAGGAUGCCAAGCGCUCCCAACGCUCUUAAAUUUGAGCCAGUUGGCCCUCUUUUUGCCAAGCAUCCUAUUUUGCCAAGUGCAUAUAGAGUAGUGUUGGAGGAGCUUUUCCAUGUUUUGCCAAAAAUUAGGAUUUGCCAAGUGCAUAUAGGGUAGUGUUGGAGUUGCUCUAAGGACGUCCAGAACAGCCAUCUAAGGUCUCUUUGGUUGGACUUUUGAACCUGCUUUUGCUUUUGUAAAAGCCAAAAUCCAACCAAAGGGCCCAAAAGCCACAAGUGCUUUUGCCCAAAAGCAGCUUUUCUCGUAGUACAAAUCCAAAAGCACCUCACCCCCUGCUUUCACUGACUUCUGGGAUCCGUUCAGUUUUUUUUUCCAAAAGCCACGAGUGACCAACCAAAUGACUUUUGGGUUUCUCAAAGCCCACAUCCCACAGUAGCUUUUCAAAAGCUCAAAGCUCACAGUAGCUUUUCCAAAAGUCACAUCCCAAUCAAACACACCCUAAGGCCUUGUUUAGAUCCAAAUAAUAGAUCUACAGGAUCUACUAGCAAUAGAAAGAACAGGGAUUCGGGAUACAUAAGUAACAUAGACAGUAACAUAAAUAUGCACACUAGAUCUAUUACAUAGGGAAUAGAAACAGGUAGAUCUAGAGUAUAGGGAUUCGACCGUCGUUGGCGGCGGGUGUAGAUCCAGUGGGGUCCAUGGCGAGGGCGUUGACGCGGUGACGGAGUAGAUCCCGUCGUCCUUCGGGCCUCCACCGGCACUGACCGACGACGGCGGGGUAGGAGUAGAAGGGUGACGGCGCGGUGGUGCUUCCCGACGCCACUGCGCACUGUCGAUCGGCGACCUAGGGUUGUGAGUAGGGUUUGGCGGCGCACGACGAACUUCGUGUUGUGUGCCAGUAGCCCCCUACUCCUAUAUUUAUAGCGCAGCGCGUCGGGGGCCCACCAACGAUAGAUCGAUUGGACGCCCCCGAUCAGGGCGCGAUCCAGGGGGAAAGGCCCCAGCCGUUGGGCUGGGCCUGAGAUCAAUAUAACAUUCUCCCUCUUGAUCUCAUCUGUGCUUUCUCGCUUUGUCAACUCACCCCGUCACAAAUCAGUGUAUUGAGCAUGCUUCAUCUUAGCAGUUAUCACUGCUAGAUUAGACAGCCACAAACACUUUUCUGUUUAGAGAUGAAUUCUCGCCUUGGGCCCCUUGCUAUCCAGGAAUCACAGGCUUUCCCUUAAACCCAUGUCGGCUACAUGUUCUCUGAACAUACUGGGCGGUAAGCCUUUCGUAAGCGGAUCCGCUAGCAUCUUUUCUGUGCUUAUAUGUUCAAGACUUAUGAUGUGAUCUCGGAUUUUAUCCUUGACAACAUAAUAUUUUAUGUCAAUGUGCUUGGCGGCAUUGCUUGACUUAUUGUUGUGAGCAUACAACACUGCUGGCUCGUUGUCACAAUACAACUUUAGUGGUUUAUCGAUGCUGUCGACCACCUUUAAACUGGGUAUAAAUUUCUUAAGCCAAUUCACCUGUCCUGAUGCCUCAUAACAAGCAAUAAACUCAGCAUACAUUGUGGACGAUGCAGUGAUUAUUAUUUGUUUUGAGCUCUUCCAUGAUAUGGCUCCUUGCACGAGAGUGAAUAUAUACCCUGAGGUAGACUUUCUAUCAUCUUCCGCGUAAUCAGAAUCUGAAUACCCUACUAUUUGUAGGUCAUCAGAUCUUCUAUAGGUUAACAUAUGAGCCCCUUCGUGCCUUGCAAGUAUCUUAAGAAUUUCUUUACUAGAUUCCAGUGUUCCAUACCAGGAUUACUUUGAUAUCUACCAAGUAGCCCGGUCACAAAAGCCAGGUCCGGGCGUGUGCACACUUGAGCAUACUGUAAGCUUCCGACAGCUGAAGCGUAUGGAACGGCUUGCAUGCAAUCGCGCUCGAACUUGCUCUUGGGACAUUGAUGUUCCCCAUACUUGUCACCUUUUACAAUAGGAGCAGGUGAAGGUCUACACUUAUGCAUAUUGAAUUUCUUCAAUAUUUUCUCUAUAUAUGCCUCUUGGGACAAUCCCAAUACCCCUCGACUUCUAUCUCGGUGAAUCUUUAUGCCCAAGACAAAAGAAGCUUCACCUAAAUCUUUCAUAUCGAAAUUUGAGGACAAAAAUCUCUUGGUUUCCUGUAGUAGAGUGACACCACUACUGGCUAGUAGAAUGUCAUCUACAUACAGUACUAGGAAAAUGUAUUUCCCAUUCUUAAACUUUGCAUAUACGCAAUUGUCCUCAACAUUCUCUUUAAACCCAAACUUUCUGAUUGUCUUAUCAAACUUUAAAUACCACUGCCUGGAUGCUUGCUUUAAUCCAUAAAUGGAUUUCUUCAGGCGACAACCCAUUCUUUCUUUGCUUGUCACAACAAAACCUUUCGGUUGUGCCAUGUAUACUCUUUCUUCUAGAUCCCCAUUGAGGAAAGCUGUCUUCACAUCCAUUUGAUGCAAUUCUAGAUCAAAAUGUGCCACUAGGGCCAUUAUGAUUCUAAAAGAGUCCUUGCUCAAGACGGGAGAGAAUGUUUCAUUAUAAUCUAUCCCUUCUCGCUGAGUAAAACCCUUGGCUACCAGUCUUGCUUUGUACCUUUCUAUGUUCCCUUUGGAGUCACGUUUCACCUUGUAGACCCAUUUGGAGCCUACUGUUUUGGCUCCUUCAAGAAUUUCCUCUAGGUCCCAAACUUUAUUGGUACUCAUAGACUUUAAUUCAUCUUCCAUGGCUUCUUGCCACUUAGAUACUUCGGUGCUCCUCAUGGCUUCUUCAAAUGAAGUGGGUUCAUCCUCCAUCUGAACUUCUUUGCAUUCAUAGACUAUAUAGUCAUCUGGAAUAGGAGACUUUCUCGCUCUUUGAGGUCUACCAGAAGUUUCUGGUACUGGCAUUUCUUCUUGAGGUUGCUCUUGUUGGGGCUGCUGUUCUUCAACUAUGGGUUCAUUCGGCUCCUGAAGGACAAGUUCCGAAUUAGCCAUAGGCGAAAAAGCAGCAGGUGUUGUCACUACUAGUGUAGAUCCAACAACAACAGGCAGCGUAAAGUAGGGUUCUUGCACCAUGGGAAUGGGCACGAACACCCGCUUCUCUGCAAGGGUAAUUUCUCGCGCUGCCUUGCUCCCCCUGAUCAUCUGAUCUUCUAGAAAACUAGCGUGUCUCGGUUCCACAAACUUGGUAUGUCUACCAGGGCAGUAGAAACGAUAACCUUUUGACUUUUCUGGAUAGCCAAUAAAAUGACAACUUACUGUUUUGGGGUCUAGCUUUCCUAUGUUUGGGUUAAAUACUUUUGCUUCAGCAGGGCUCCCCCAGACACGCAAAUGGUUGACUGAGGGUUUCCUGCCGGUCCACAACUCAUACGGUGUUUUAAGUACUGACUUGCUUGGAACUCUGUUGAGAAUAUGAAUGGCGGUUUUUAAGGCCUCCAUCCACAAACUCAAUGCAGAGUGGAAUAGCUCAUCAUGCUGCGCACCAUAUCCAUUAGAGUACGGUGACGCCUUUCUGCUACUCCAUUCUGCUGUGGGUCCCCUGGCAUUGAAUACUGGGCUACUAUGCCAUUUUCCUGUAAGAACCUCGCAAAAGGUCCAGGAACUUGUCCAUAAGGGGUAUGUCGACCGUAGUACUCCCCCCCCCCCCACGGUCAGAUCUUACUACUUUGAUUUUUCUGUCUAGUUGGUUUUGAACCUCAGCCUUGAAUAUCUUAAAUUUGUCUAAAGCUUCUGAGCGUUCUUUGAUUGGAUAGAUAUAUCCAAAACGAGAGUAGUCAUCUGUGAAUGUGAUGAAGGAAUCAAAACCAUCCACAGAUGUCACUGGAAAAGGUCCACAGAUGUCUGUGUGGAUCAAUUCUAGUACUCCUGUGCUUCGCUUAGUGCCUUUCUUUAUGUUCUUUACUAACUUGCCUUUAAUGCAAUCGACGCAUUGCUCUAACUCUGAGAGUUCUAGUGGUGGGAGGAUUGAUUCUUUAACUAAGCGUUCUAUUCUCCCCCUCGAAAUGUGGCCUAAGCGACAGUGCCAUAAUUUCGAUGAGGAAUCAAUUCUCUUUCUUUUCUUGCUAGCAUCUGCGGGUAUUGCAUUCUCAGCAUUAUUACAUUCAGCAUUCACAUUCUCAGACAUAGAUAAUAAAUAAAGUUUGUCUUGUCGGAAGGCAAGACCCACACAUUUAUUAUUUAACUGUAGCUUACAAUCAUUCUUGCUGAAAUGGCAAUCAAAACCAUAGUCUGACAAACAUGAAACUAAAAUUAAAUUUCUAGCUAAAGAGGGGACAUAAAGAACAUCAUGCAACUCAAGUGUGAAGCCACUAGCUAAAUCUAGAGAUAAAUUUCCUAUAGCUUGAACUUCAGCAGCAACACCAGUGGCCACCUUAAUCUGUCUUUCUCAUCUUUGAAGGGUUCUCCCUCCACUGAAUCCCUGCAAAGAGUUUGCAACAUGAACAGUUGCACCUGAGUCAAUCCACCAUGUGGAUCUAGCAUAACUUAGAUAUAAGGAUUCAUCAACAAAAGUUAUAAUGUCCUCACCUUUCACUAGGCAAUGUUUCAUGAACUUAGGGUAUUCAUGCUUCCAAUGCCCUGUCUCAUUACACCAUCUACAGCGAUCCGGGUCCUCCUGCCUGUGCUGGUUGUCUUGCUUUGGCUGUGCUUUUGGCUGUGAAGAGCUUCCUCCCUUGUUCUCGGAGGUGGAGGCAUCUAGAGCUUUCUUGUUGUAGAAUGGUUUCUUGUUCUUUCCUUUCACAAAGUUCACAGAACCACCAUUUGCAUUCUUGAGCCUUUCUUCCUCUUGCACACACAUAGCAAUCACCUUCUCUAAAUCCCACUCCUCUGGCUGUGUGUUGUAGUUAACAACAAAUGUCUCAUACUCUUUAGGAAGUGAGUUUAGAGCUAGGUGAAUGAUGAAACCAUCAGCGAGGGGCAUCUUUAGCUUCUCUAACUUGGCUGCCAUGGUGCUCAUGCUCAGAAUGUGCUCUCUCACACUCCCCCCUGUGAACCUCAUGUUAGUGAGUUUCUGGAUCAGGGUGGAAGCAUGAGCUUUGGUGGAACCAGUAAACUGAUUCUUCACUUUCUCAAGGUAUUCUUUUGCUGUCUCACAUUCUGGGAUGGCACCUCUUAGGCCCUCUGUGAUGGUUUUCUUGAUGACAAUCUUGCAUUUGCGGUUUGACUUUUCCCACUUGUACUUCUCAAGAUCAUACUUUGCUAUGAUGGGAGCAAAGUCUCGCUUCCGAUUAGCAAAAGCUUCAUCGCUCUCAUUCUGAGCCCUUUCGGGCUCCUCUGGCUCAGUGGGCUUUGGCUCCUGAAGAGCCAAAUCUAUCUCAGCAAGUGCUAGAGCUGCAUCAAGUUCCUCGCGCCACAGAACAUAGUUCUGCCCCGUCAGCUUUGGGAUUGCACUGAUGAAGUGCAUCGCAUUCUGCGCUUGGUCUGAAAUUAAAUAUGAGAAAAUAGUGAGAACAUCAACAUUAAAUCUAGGAAAAAUAAUUGCAUAUCUUAAUUUAACGUUGGUCAAAAUCAAGAUAUACAAAAAUUAACUCUCUACAUAAAUUCUAAUCACUGUUGGGCAGAAUAGAAUAAAUACAUAAAAUUAGAACUUGGAAUUUGUAAUAUUGCUAUUAUUAACGUUGGUCAAAAAAUAACAAUAUCACAAAAAUACUAGGCUUUAAAACUCGUGUCUCAAAUUAAAUAUCCCGUUGGUUCAAUUUAAUAUGAGAACGAAAAAAUAACUUGCGCAGCGGAAAACAUUAAUUUAUUUACUAUUUUUAGAAGCAUAACUAGCUAACUGUGCUUUCUAAUUAAUAUACACGUUGGUGCAAAUUAAAUAGAAUUUAAAACUGAGCAAAACAAAUAUUUAAAUGCUUCUGAAAAUUAAAUAGAAUAUAAAAAAGGAGUUACAUUGCUUAAACGGGCCGUGGCCAACCAUUCGGCCCACGACCUCUUGCGGUCCAGCUCGGACGCUGGCCCAGCAGCGCACGGGUGCUUCUGAGUUUUUUUUAUUCUUGGCUGGUGGCACGCGGCCCAGCUAUCGGUUUUCGGCCCAGCCCAACGGCAUGCGUGCACGCGGGCGCUUGGCGGGCCGCAACCUGGGCCGGUGGCGCGCAUUCGGCCCAGCGCCGAAACCCGCCUGGGCUCAUUCUAGCCCAGCAGCCGCUGGUCGUCCGAUUUGCGGCCGUCGCGAUCGGACGGUAGAGUGCGCAGGUCGGAGGCAUAAAAGCCGCCGGCGCCAGGCUCUCUCUCCCAAACCCUAGUUUCUUUCUCCUUUGCUUCCUUCCUGACUCAGCAGCCGACGGCGCCGGCGCAGGAGCCAGACAGCCGCGGCAAGGGCCUCGCCGGCGCCGGUGAAGACGCCGUCGUUUCGGCCGCUCCCUUUCUCCUUUCUGUGCUUUCUUUUGCUUUUUCUCUCUCCAGUCCACUUGCGCCCAGCUGUAGAGAAGGACGCAGUGCUUUGCCGGCCGGAAAGAGUGGCGCCGCCGCGGUUCCUAUCGCCGGAGCGCGCGCUUCCCGUGGUGGGUGAGCGCGCCGCCGUCGAUAAGAGUCGCGAUGGUGCCCUGCGCUUGGCCCCCAUGCGGGAUUCCUCCCUGGUUUUGACCACCCCGGCCGCUAUGGUCGUGAGGCCGGGAUGGGCUAGCGCCCAGGUAGGGUGUUCCUUUAUUCUUUGUUGUUUGAUCUAUGCUUUUAGGGUUAGGAAAUCCCUUUUCUCGAUCUUUCGCGUUUGGAUCUGGGCGCUAGGUUUAGGGUUUGGGAAAAAAAAUAAAUCCUCUCCUUCUACUUGCUGGGCUUGUUGGGUAAAUCCCGAAAACCCCGAUCUAUUACUAGAUCGGCUGAUACCAUUGAUAGAUCUACAGGAUCUACUAGCAAUAGAAAGAACAGGGAUUCGGGAUACAUAAGUAACAUAGACAGUAACGUAAAUAUGCACACUAGAUCUAUUACAUAGGGAAUAGAAAUAGGUAGAUCUAGAGUAUAGGGUUUUGACCGUCGUUGGUGGCGGGUGCAGAUCCAGUGGGGCCCAUGGCGAGGGCGUUGACGCGGUGACGGAUUAGAUCCCGUCGUCCUUCGGGCCUCCAUCGGCACUGACCGACGACGGCGGGGUAGGAGUAGAAGGGUGACGGCGCGGUGGUGCUUCCCGACGCCACUGCACACUGUCGAUCGGCGACCUAGGGUUGUGAGUAGGGUUUGGCGGCGCACGACGAACUUCGUGUUGUGUGCCAGUAGCCCCCUACUCCUAUAUUUAUAGCGCAGCGCGUCGGGGGCCCACCAACCAUAGAUCGAUUGGGCGCCCCCGAUCAGGGCGCGAUCCAGGGGGAAAGGCCCCAGCCGUUGGGCUGGGCCUGAGAUCAAUCUAACACCAAAAAGUUUUUGGAUUUUGAGAUUAUAGCAUUUUUAUUUUUAUUUGACAAAUAUUGUUCAAUCAUAAAGUAACUAAGUUUAAAAGAUUUGUCUAGCGACUUACAGACAAACUGUACAAUUAGUUUUUGUUUUCAUCUAUAUUUAAUGCUCCAUGCAUGUGCCACCAGAUUCAAUGUAACGGAGAAUCUUGAAAAGUUUUUGGUUUUUAGGGUGAACUAAACAAGGCCUAAAUAACUAGUAGAUACAUAGUAUUUUAUUUCACAUGGAGGAAAGAGAACGUGAAAACUGAGGCCUUGUUUAGUUUCAAUUUUUUUUGCAAAAUAGAUACUGUGGCACAUUCGUUUGUAUUUGACAAAUAUUAUCCGAUCAUGAACUAAUUAGGAUCAAAAGAUUUGUCUCGCAAAUUACAAUUAGGGUUUUAUAAAUGCAUUCCCCCCAUCAACCUUUAUACUCACUUUGGCUUCCCCUUUUAUAGGACACUAUUACUUGGGGAAACCAGUUUACACUCCUAUCCUACGACACAGCGGCUAUGGUACAUUAAUGGAAUACGCUUAGCCACAAACAUAAUUUUAGGGUUACUUUGGGGCAUUCCACCUUGGCAACCGCCUUAAUUCAUGGGCCUUUUCUAGUGCCCACAGAGGCCCAUCUAUCACCUCAAGUUCUAGGCACCGUAGGGGCCUUCUCGUCAGCCUUCACUAGAAAAGCCCCGCCUUCCGCCGCGAUCUGGGCUCAUGCUACUCUGGACCUUCACUGCUACACUACCACCUUCGCCUUGUGCUCCAUCCAAGGAGGGUUCCGUGAUGCCUUUGCCCCUCAGAGCGGGACCUUCGCCAAUGUCGAGGGUGCGGGCGAAGGCUCCUGUCUUUGUUCCUGCCAAUCAAUGAUCAUGUUUCGUGCAUUGUUAGUCUUUUUUCGCUGGUGUAUCCCCUAGCUGCCAUAGCUCAUAGUUCCAUGUCCCAACAAUGUCUAAGAGCAAUUUCACUAGGAACCCUUAAAUUAGGGUUCCCACUUUUGAUUCGAGGGUUAUUCAACUUUUAAGUUUUUUUUGCAUCUAUUGUAACAACUCUCAAAUCCAUUUCAGUAGUCACGGAGACACAAACACAUGAGAUUCACUCGCCAUUCUCUUCCUAUGACCAUAACUACCUUCGCUCCAAUCAACUAAGCUAUGACUGACACGGGGUGGAGCAGCAGUAACCUCAUUAGGGAGGGGUUUGUGCCAAGGGCAGAGGAGCCGAUGAUGAGAGAGUAGCCACGUUGGGGACUGACCUUGUAAGAAUAGGGAAGGACCUCACUAGGGGAUGGGACAAGCACUAGGGAGAGGAGUCACGCUAGGGGAUCGAGGAUGGGGUAAUAAGGGUCUCGUUGGGACGGGGAAGGACCUCACUAGGGGACAAGACAGGAGCUAGGGAGAGGAGCCACAACGGGGAAGGAUCUCACACAUAGGCGGACAAACCUCACUGUGAGAGCCACGCUACAAGGAGGGAGACCCCUUAGGAAGGGGCACGCCGCUAUAGGGAGGGGAGUCACACCACUAAGGUGAGGGGCCUCAUCAGGGAGAGCCGCACCAAGGGAAGGACCUCCUAGGGACGGUGGAGCAUGCAAGCAACAUCGGAUGUGGAUAGAUGGACACUAUCCUCUUGCAUGCUAGGAGGAAAACGAUAACAAGUGUCAGUUGAGGGCCUAGAGUAGGGUCCCAAGAAAAUGAGGACUAGGAGGAAAAUUUGAGGGGCCUAUGAGUUUUUUUUUCUAGUCAUCAAAUUUGGUUUUGAGGGGUCAAGUAGGUGUCCUGCUAGAGAAGGCACCUCUAAUAAUAGUGAGAGUUAGAUAUCGACUCUUAGAUCCAUCUCAUUCAUAUGUUUUAUUUAUAUAUUCUCUCGUGUCAAGAGAGAGAGAUAAUUCAAGUCUCUCAUACAUUUUAGUACGUGCAAAGAGCUCGGCUUUUCUCAACUUCUCUCCACGCUAGUUCCACGCUAGUUCAAAGGUUUUUGGCCUCUCUCCCCUUUGUGUGGUAUCUGAUACUAGCUUAGAGCAAGUCCAAGAGAAGAGCUAUCCAUAUCAUGUAUUCUAUAUUUGGCUAUUUUGGGAGAGAAAAGAGAGUCCAACAGCUAUUGUAUUUGGUUUGCUAAAAUAGCAAGUCAUCUAUCCCGGAGUUCUCGUAUGGUAAAUAUAGCUUGCAUGUCCUGCUAGCCAUAUGAUUUGCCGUAUAGAAAGACCGUUGGAGAUUUUUAUUUUUUUACAUGAUUUUCUAUUUUAGAGGUUGGCUAAAUUUUGAAUUUAGCCAUCUAUUUUUAUCAACUCUCUUAGAGUUGCUCUUAGAGUUGUCCAAUAGAGAUGCCCUUAGCUAGCUCCCAAUUUAGAAUAUACCUAGACUAGAUCGAUAUCAGGCUUGAGAACGCAUAAUAGUUAGAUAUUUAUACCUAGUAGAUCGUUGGGUUUUAAACAAUACCAUACCUUUUUUUUGAGGGGAAAACGAUACCAUACGUGAAAUGGCUCACAUGAAUAUUAGGCCCGAAAACGGUUAUUGGCUAAACAGAAUUGGGCCUUAAAUGGGCGAUUAAAACAGCAAUGAUGCCUCCGUAGACUAGGAAUCGCAUAGACAAAAAGCUGUGACAUGCAUAUGCCUCGGGUGGGCUAUAAACAGGCCUGCGAUGCAGGCCUAUACACAGCCCAAUUUUUUUUGUGAACAAUACACAGCCCAAUUUGUGUACGUACAAGUGCCGGUUGCUUUUUCAGUUUCUUGCCCCAUGGGAAGCAUUCCCCAAUCGAAUCAUCACGUACGUACUUGACUCUGAUCCAUCAUAACACUUGGUGUCCACUAUGCACGCUCGUAGGCAUUGUUUACUUCCACCCAAAAUCUAAAAUUUUUUCAAGAUUUCGCGUCACAUCGAAUCUUUAGACGUAUGCAUGGAGUAUUAAAUAUAAACGAAAUUAAAAACUAAUUGCACAGUUUGAUCGAAAUUUACGAGACGAAUCAUUUGAGCCUAGUUAGUCCAUAAUUAAACAAUAAUUAUCAUAAACAAACAAAAGUGCUACAGUGUACCGAAAAAAUUUCGGCAAGGAACUAAACAAGGCCGUAGUAUGCUGUUAUAUGAUGGAAUCUAAAGAGCCCCAUUUUCUCUUUUAUCUUACCCUCCAGAUCGAGGCCACAAAAUCCUAGGUACAGAACAUCGUCUGUCAGAUGCAUCUGGUUGCAGCAAAGAUCCACACACAUUACAUAGAAUACGUGCACAGCACCAAAUGCAUGCAACGGCAACAUAUGCAUGCAGCACAAUUAGUUGUACAGUUUCCAUGAUUUACAAGCAAGUCCGGAUUCUUUUACUUCAGUAAACCAUCCUCAUAUUGCAAUGAUGGCAUGAUGCAUAUAUAGAGCGGGAGUGGUUAAGGUCGAUGAAUAAUGAAUCACUGAUGAAGCAGGGCAGACAAGGACACGGCAGCGGCGGCAGAGGCACACUGAGCCCACACAGAUGAAAUGAGCAAAUAUAUAGUACGUCGCGUGUAUAUGUUACUAUAUCUUAUUACUUGAACACAUCACUCUCAUGACUCAUGGAUGGAAAACAUCAUGCAUACAGUACAAUAUAUAAUGGACACAAAAGCUAGUAGUAUUCAUUAUUCAGGAAACCUGUGUGCUAAAGCAACAAGGUUAAAGGCAAGCAAACCCCCAAGGACGACGUUGAGUGCUGCUUUGCUAGCCUGCUACACACACACACACGUACGAUCGAGGUACACGACGACAGCCACAGCGACGACAGAGUUGGUGUAAACUCAAGGUAGUAAACAGUAAAUACUAAUUAAACGGAGUGAUCACUAACAGGUACGGUGCAUGCAUGAUCUACUCCUUAAUUUAUGUAUCUAUCUCAUUGCAUGCAUCAUCCAUGGAGGGAGUCAUGGACGACAUCUGGUAAAACAACGACGACUGCAUGCUGAUCGCCAUCCAACGAGCAUGCCUCAUGCAUGUCCUUAUGAUCGAUCAUCAGUUGAUCCUGCACGUACAUAACAUGAAAGAUAUCAAAUCAUGGUUAUCACACUCGAUCAUUAGCAGAAAAUCACUCAUAAUCACUGUGCAUUCAUGCAUGCAUGGACGACAUAUUUAAUCAAUUGGACAGGGUGAAAAACUCAGCCUAGGAGGCGUCGUACUUGGAGCAGUCGACGUUGGGACUAAUGGGCACGCCGACGGAGACGCCGCACUUGGAGGGGAUGCUGGCGGCGUUACCCAUGCUGACGCCGCCGCCGCCGCCGAGCCUGCUCGUCAUGCUCUUGAGGCAGGCGCAG